GAGUGAGUUAGUAGAAAAACACUUGGGGUCGAAACACGGCAAGACUCCCGGGUGUUUUUCUCA
rnacentral:ncRNA from 1 species